rnacentral:lncRNA from 1 species
AACAGUUUGAGCAUUAAUUUUAAUUGAUGCUUUCGCAUCAGGUAGUGUAGCAAUUUCGUCUUCUGAAAGAUCUAAAGCUUUAUAAAUAUUAAAAUACCAAAAGUGAGGACCUCCUAAUUUCAUUGUUGGAUUUAACAUAGCAGCUACACCAAAAAUAUGAGGGAUAGGAAAAAAAUAUUGUUUAAACUUUUGUUUCAUUUCAUUUAUUGCAAGUUCAUAAAUAUCCCCACCCUCGCUAAAUUCAACAAAUAAAUCAGCUAGUGCAGCAAUAUAAACUAAACAGUUAGAAAUAGUCGGAUAAUAUUGCCCAGAAAAAGCAUUUGUAGCAACUUGAAAAUGUUCUAAAAAAUCUAUUUAACAUUAGUCCAAUCUUGGGUAGUUAGCAUUUCGUCAUCAUCCUCACCACCUACCCGAGAAUUAAACGUAGCAUUAA